CCCUUAGAUGUCCUGGGCCGCACGCGUGCUACACUGACACUUACACCGAGUUUUUCCAAUGCCGAAAGGCCAUUGGUAAUCAGCAAUAAGUGUCGUGAUGGGGAUAGAUCUUUGGAAUUAUUGAUCUUGAACGAGGAAUGCCUAGUAAUCGUAGGUCAUCAGCCUGCGAUGAUUACGUCCCUGCCCUUUGUACACACCGCCCGUCGCUCCUACCGAUUUCGAGUGGUUCGGUGAACCUUUCGGACCGGCAAUGCCUCGUGUUGCGCCGGAAAGUCAAGUAAACCAUNUNACUUAANGGAAGGAGAANUCGUANCA
rnacentral:rRNA from 1 species